GACACAACACAAAUUACUUUUUACCGGCUUCACGUUAUCUGUAGCGUCAAACUGACUGCCAGUCUGGCAGUCUCCUACACUGGUGUAGGAGAAUCGCCGAAAUACAUCAGUGUUAACGACCUAGGGUUUAAAAUAUUCAUUAGGCUACUUGUCUCUGCACAAAUGCUCCACAAGAAAAACACUCACCUUUUAAACGAUGUGGCAUUUAACCAAUGCUGAAUUGGUACUUAGGGGCCCGAAAUGUGCCAAGAAAAUUUCCCCCACGUCAUUACACCACCACAGCACCAGCCUGAAUUUUGAUGCAAGGCAGGGUGAAUCCACGCCUUCAUGUUGCUUUCAACAAAUACCAUCUAUGUGUUACAGCAGAAAUUGAGACUCAUUAGACAAGGCAAAAUUUUUCCAGUCUUCUGCUGUCCAGUUCCGGUGAGCCUGUGCGGACUGUACGGUUGGAAGGAACAUCUACUUUAAAAUUUGAUGUGUUGUGCACUCAGAGAUGCUCUUCUGCAUACCUUGGUUGUAAUGAAUUACUCAUGCCCUCUAUCAGCAGUCUGGCCUUUUCCCUCUGACCUCUGGCAUCAACAAGAGAACUCCGGCUCACUGGAUAUUUUCUCUCUUUCUGACCGUUCUUUGCAAAUCCAAGAAUUGGUUACGCAGGAAAACUCUAGUAGAUCAGCAGUUUGUAAAAUAUUCAGGCUACCUGGCACCAACAACCAAAGGCACACGAACCACCUUUCUUCUUUAUUUUUUUUGUCAUCAACAAUUUUUAUUUAUUUCAUUUUAAACUUCAAUAACAGAACUUAAGAAUAACUACAUAAAUAAAUAGUUUUAAAAAACAAACAAACAAAAACAAACAACAACAAAACAAAACACAACAAACAAAAACAAACAAACAAAAAAAAAAAAAACCAAAGGAAAGUUAUCCUAUUCUUUCUUCGCACACCAAUCCCCACACCACCACUCUAUCAUUACUCUUCUGUUCUUCAAGUUACAGAAAGCCAGCUUGUAAAGGGGGACCAAAUACAGUCAUAUUGAUGCAAUUUAUCUAAUAAACCAUAAGUCACUUUUUCAUAAGACGCCAACUUAGCCAUUGUCUUUAGCCACUCUUCAUAGGGAGGGGGGUUCUUUUUCCGUCAAUGUCUUAGCAGGACCCGUUUGGCCGUAGUAAGAGCCAGAAUAAUCCAUCUUUUUGUAUAACUAGAAAAAUCUCCAUCAGAAAGUUCUGUGGUUAUACCAAGUAUGGACAGUUUUGGUGAGAUACCAAAUCUCCUUUUUAAAACACUGAAAAUUACCUCCAUUAUAUUUUCCCACCAAUCUCGAAGUGCCGAACAGCUCCAUAAGAUAUGUAAAAUCGAAGCAUUUUGACCAUCACAUCUCCAAC
ensembl:lncRNA